rnacentral:pre_miRNA from 14 species
CAGCUCUCGCCGCGGUGGCUGACGGGAGGUGGAGAUAGAACGAGGGUGUCGGCCAUUUUGUGUCUGUUUCCUGCCGGACGUGGUGGUGGCGGU